GACAGAGGUCCCGAGCGUUUAGACGGAAUCACUGGGCUUAAAGCGUGUGUAGGCGGAUCUGUAAGUACCUUGUGAAAUCCCAUAGCUUAACUAUGGAACUGCUUGGUAUACUGCGGGUCUUGAGCCACUUAGGGGCAACCGGAACAAAUGGUGGAGCGGUGAAAUGCGUAGAGAUCGGGAGGAACAUCUGUGGCGAAGGCGGCCACCUGGACCAUGACUGACGCUGAGGCACGAAAGCGUGGGGAGCAAACAGGG
rnacentral:rRNA from 1 species